rnacentral:rRNA from 1 species
CGCAACCCUCAUUGUUAGUUACUACCACUCAGUUGAGGACUCUAAUGAGACUGCCAACGAUAAGUUGGAGGAAGGUGGGGAUGACGUCAAAUCAUCAUGCCCUUUAUGACCUGGGCUACAAACGUACUACAAUGGCCAAUACAAAGAGAUGCGAAGCGGUGACGUGGAGCGAACCUCAGAAAGUUGGUCUCAGUUCAGAUUGAAGUCUGCAACUCGACUUCAUGGAGGCGGAAUCGCUAGUAAUCGCGGGUCAGCAGACCGCGGUGAAUACGUUCCCGGGUUUU